GCUGGUGUGGCGGAAUAGGCAGACGCAAAGGACUUAAAAUCCUUCGGGAGUUAAUCCCGUGCCGGUUCAAGUCCGGCCACCAGCA
rnacentral:tRNA from 3 species